UACGAAGGGGGCGAGCGUUGUUCGGAUUUACUGGGCGUAAAGGGCGCGCAGGCGGCCAUUCAAGUCAGGCGUGAAAGCCCCGGGCUUAACCUGGGAGGUGCGUCUGGGACUGGGUGGCUUGAGAUCGGGAGAGGAGAGUGGAAUUCCCAGUGUAGAGGUGAAAUUCGUAGAUAUUGGGAAGAACACCGGUGGCGAAGGCGGCUCUCUGGACCGAUACUGACGCUGAGGCGCGAAAGCGUGGGGAGCAAACAGG
rnacentral:rRNA from 1 species